AAUUGGAGGGCAAGUCUGGUGCCAGCAGCCGCGGUAAUUCCAGCUCCAAUAGCGUAUAUUAAAGUUGUUGCAGUUAAAAAGCUCGUAGUUGAAUUUCGGGAUCAAUAUUUCGGUCAUGCCGUUGGUAUGCACUGUUAUCAUUGAUUUCUCACCUUCUAAAGAACCGUAAUGCCAUUAAUUUGGUGUUACGGGGAAUUAGGACUGUUACCUUGAAAAAAUUAGAGUGUUUAAAGCAGGCUCACGCUUGAAUACAUUAGCAUGGAAUAAUGAAAUAGGACAUCCGAUUCUAUUUUGUUGGUUUCUAAGAUCGAUGUAAUGAUUAAUAGGGAUAGUUGGGGGCAUUAGUAUUCAAUUGUCAGAGGUGAAAUUCUUGGAUUUAUUGAAGACUAACUACUGCGAAAGCAUUUGCCAAGGAUGUUUUCAUUAAUCAAGAACGAAAGUUAGGGGAUCGAAGACGAUCAGAUACCGUCGUAGUCUUAACCAUAAACUAUGCCGACUAGGGAUCGGAUGAUGUUAAUUUUUUAAUGACUCAUUCGGCGCCUUACGGGAAACCAAAGUGU
rnacentral:rRNA from 1 species